rnacentral:rRNA from 1 species
CAAUAGCGUAUAUUAAAGUUGUUGCGGUUAAAAAGCUCGUAGUUGGAGUUCUGCCAGGUGCCGCCUGUCCGCCCCAGUGGUGAGUACGUGGCGCGCAUUUGGCCCUUUCAAGGGGAGCGUAUCUGCACUUUAUUGUGUGGUGCGGGAUCCUUGACUUUUACUUUGAGGAAAUAGGAGUGUUCCAAGCAGGCUCUCGUCGUGCACAGCUCAGCAUGGAAUAAUAGCAUUGGACCUCGAUUCUAAGCUGUUGGUUGCCAGAAGCGAGGUAAUGAUGAAGAGGGAUAGUUGGGGGCAUUCGUAUUUAACUGUCAGAGGUGAAAUUCUUGGAUUUGUUAAAGACAGACUACUGCGAAAGCAUCUGCCAGGGAUGUUUUCAUUGA